GGCCGGUUAGCUCCGUCGGUUAGAGCGUGGUGCUGAUAACACCAAGGUUGUGGGUUCGAUCCCGCCCGGGCCC
rnacentral:tRNA from 1 species